UAGACUGCUGUUGGAAGACAGCAUAACUUGCAUGCAGAUUGAUGAAGAAGGCAUGUUUCUCAAGGGUAAUAACCUGAAAUGUUGCUUCUUUUCUGUAGGAUCUCAUUCCCCUACAUGCAGAAUGACAUAAACCAAAGGCUGCACCAUAGAUCACAGAGAGCUCAUAAACUGAUCACAGGGGUUUAUUUAUUCCUCAGUGAUCCAAGGCAAUUUCUGUCAAGGGUGUUUUGAUAUCUGAUAAACAGAACAAAUU